rnacentral:rRNA from 1 species
GGGUGGUAAUGCCGGAUGCUCCAUCACACCGCAUGGUGUGUUGGGAAAGCCUUUGCGGCAUGGGAUGGGGUCGCGUCCUAUCAGCUUGAUGGCGGGGUAACGGCCCACCAUGGCUUCGACGGGUAGCCGGCCUGAGAGGGCGACCGGCCACAUUGGGACUGAGAUACGGCCCAGACUCCUACGGGAGGCAGCAGUGGGGAAUAUUGCACAAUGGGCGCAAGCCUGAUGCAGCGACGCCGCGUGAGGGAUGGAGGCCUUCGGGUUGUAAACCUCUUUUGUUAGGGAGCAAGGCACUUUGUGUUGAGUGUACCUUUCGAAUAAGCACCGGCUAACUACGUGCCAGCAGCCGCGGUAAUACGUAGGGUGCAAGCGUUAUCCGGAAUUAUUGGGCGUAAAGGGCUCGUAGGCGGUUCGUCGCGUCCGGUGUGAAAGUCCAUCGCUUAACGGUGGAUCCGCGCCGGGUACGGGCGGGCUUGAGUGCGGUAGGGGAGACUGGAAUUCCCGGUGUAACGGUGGAAUGUGUAGAUAUCGGAAAGAACACCA